GACGGGGCCCGCACAAGCGGUGGAGCAUGUGGUUUAAUUCGAUGCAACGCGAAGAACCUUACCUGGGCUUGACAUCCCGGGAAUCCCUUGGAAACAAGGGAGUGCCCUUCGGGGAACCUGGAGACAGGUGCUGCAUGGCUGUCGUCAGCUCGUGUCGUGAGAUGUAGGGUUAAGUCCCGCAACGAGCGCAACCCUUGUCUUUAAUUGCCAUCAUUGAGUUGGGCACUUUAAAGAGACUGCCGGUGUUAAACCGGAGGAAGGUGGGGAUGACGUCAAGUCCUCAUGGCCUUUAUGCCCAGGGCUACACACGUGCUACAAUGGGUGGUACAAAGAGCAGCCAGCUCGCGAGGGGGAGCCAAUCCCAGAAACCCGAUCGUAGUCCGGAUUGUAGUCUGCAACUCGACUACAUGAAGUCGGAAUCGCUAGUAAUCGCGGAUCAGCAUGUCGCGGUGAAUACGUUCCCGGGUCUU
rnacentral:rRNA from 1 species